GUGGUUGCCACCCGCAGACCAACCAGGGCCGGGGACAAACUGCAACCGAGCCAUAAGAAAAGAUGAAAUGCUGUCACGUGCAACUACAUGGAUGGAUCCUGAGAAUAUCAUGCUAAGUGAAAUAAGUCAGACAGAAAAUGUUAAGAAGCAUAUGAUUUCACUCAUGCGUGGGAUAUGAAACAAACAAACAAGAGCUCAGACACAGACAACAAUAUGGUUCUCCAAGAAGCAGAUACCAAGAUGGAAUGAGACAUGCAGUAAAUUUAUUGGGGAAAAAUUCCUGUGGGGGAAAAAAGGGAGAGAACUGGAGGAGCUAUGAAACUUGUCAGACCACCAUCUCACAUCUCACCUGUAGAGAGAGGGGAAGAAGAAAGAUUUGCCUGGAACUCAGGGCUGGCAAGCAGUGAUUCUUGAAUGAAUGACAGUGUGAAUGGUCAUAGAGAGCAAAUACGUGCUGGAAUCUACUGGAAUAUUAGAAAAUUUCUCAAGAAAACAUAUAUUAACUUUAAGGUGCUUCCACCACUAAAAUUCUCUUGAGAGGAACUACUUCAACCGGAGUUCAAUGUGAUAGCAUAAACUACUGCAGAGCUGAGCAGUGUGCAGAACGUGUGUGAUUGUCAAAUGGGGAACACGGAACAUUCUAACCUAAUGAGAGUUUUCACUUCCUGGGGUGACCUGUUUGUACUCUGUGCCAAAAGACCUCUGAGAGGCCUACAGCUGCUUUCAGUUUGUCAUUCAGACAUGAAGUGCACCCCUCCAGCAGCUGUAGAGCUCCCCCAACCUUCGCUCUGCUUAUACUCAGCAAAGGGGCUCUUUAAUCUCUGGGCUUGAGAAAAAAAUUUAUUAAGAAAAGAAUGGGGCCCCAGAAUUCCUGGGGUGAGCUUUAGGAACACAGCAGGUGGUGGCCAAAAGGCCAUGACAAAAUUAAGUAAAAAGAUUCUGAUUCUUUUCAAGCCUAUGCAUGAUUAGCAGAGUACAGACAUGUGGGAUACAGCUGUCCCUUAGGGAAGAUCACAUUUUUCAUCUCCAAGAAUGAAGGGCAACUUUCCAUCUAAUGAAUUUGGAAGAUCUCUUGGCAGGUUGUUUUGUUAUAAGUUAGCUAUCUCCAGUUAUACUUUGUUUUUAUUCUUUUGUGAAACCAACUCCAUCCUGACGGGCAAUUCUGAAAGCUCUUCUAAAGUGUUCAAUAGGAAAUGAGAUUUCUUUUCUUUCUUUCUUCUUCUUAUUUAUUUUUAUUUUACU